rnacentral:rRNA from 1 species
GGCAACAGCUCAAAUUUGAAACCUGCCUCCCGGCCGGAUUGUAAUUUGUAGAGGAUGCUUUGGGAAUGGCUCUGAUCUAAGUUUCUUGGAACAGAACGUCACAGAGGGUGAGAAUCCCGUCCGUGGUCGGUAGCCUGCCCCGUGUAAAGCUCCUUCGACGAGUCGAGUUGUUUGGGAAUGCAGCUCUAAAUGGGUGGUAAAUUUCAUCUAAAGCUAAAUACUGGCCAGAGACCGAUAGCGCACAAGUAGAGUGAUCGAAAGAUGAAAAGCACUUUGGAAAGAGAGUUAAACAGCACGUGAAAUUGUUGAAAGGGAAGCGCUUGCAAUCAGACUUGCGCGUAGGUAAUCAGGAGCGGUUCGCUGCUCUGCACUUGCCUGCGCUCAGGCCAGCAUCAGUUCUAGGGGUGGGAUAAAGGCCGUUGGAAUGUGGCUCUUCGGAGUGUUAUAGCCUUCGGUGCCAUACCGCCUCCCGGGACUGAGGACCGCGCUUCGGCUAGGAUGCUGGCGUAAUGAUUGUAAGCGACCCGUCUUGAAACACGGACCAAGGAGUCUAACAUCUAUGCGAGUGUUUGGGUGUCAAACCCACACGCGGAAUGAAAGUGAACGGAGGUGAGAGCCCUUAAGGGUGCAUCAUCGACCGAUCCUGAUGUCUUCGGAUGGAUUUGAGUAUGAGCAUAGCUGUUGGGACCCGAAAGAUGGUGAACUAUGCCUGAAUAGGGUGAAGCCAGAGGAAACUCUGGUGGAGGCUCGCAGCGGUUCUGACGUGCAAAUCGAUCGUCAAAUUUGGGUAUAGGGGCGAAAGACUAAUCGAACCAUCUAGUAGCUGGGUUCCUGCCGAAG